AUACCGUAUGUGUCCUUCGGGAGAAAGAUUUAUCGGCAAGAGAUGAGCCCGCGUUGGAUUAGCUAGUUGGUGGGGUAAAGGCCUACCAAGGCGACGAUCCAUAGCUGGUCUGAGAGGAUGAUCAGCCACAUUGGGACUGAGACACGGCCCAAACUCCUACGGGAGGCAGCAGUGGGGAAUAUUGGACAAUGGGCGCAAGCCUGAUCCAGCCAUGCCGCGUGAGUGAUGAAGGCCCUAGGGUUGUAAAGCUCUUUCACCGGAGAAGAUAAUGACGGUAUCCGGAGAAGAAGCCCCGGCUAACUUCGUGCCAGCAGCCGCGGUAAUACGAAGGGGGCUAGCGUUGUUCGGAAUUACUGGGCGUAAAGCGCACGUAGGCGGAUCGAUCAGUCAGGGGUGAAAUCCCAGGGCUCAACCCUGGAACUGCCUUUGAUACUGUCGAUCUGGAGUAUGGAAGAGGUGAGUGGAAUUCCGAGUGUAGAGGUGAAAUUCGUAGAUAUUCGGAGGAACACCAGUGGCGAAGGCGGCUCACUGGUCCAUUACUGACGCUGAGGUGCGAAAGCGUGGGGAGCAAACAGG
rnacentral:rRNA from 1 species